rnacentral:rRNA from 1 species
UACGUAGGUCCCGAGCGUUGUCCGGAUUUAUUGGGCGUAAAGCGAGCGCAGGUGGUUUAUUAAGUCUGGUGUAAAAGGCAGUGGCUCAACCAUUGUAUGCAUUGGAAACUGGUAGACUUGAGUGCAGGAGAGGAGAGUGGAAUUCCAUGUGUAGCGGUGAAAUGCGUAGAUAUAUGGAGGAACACCGGUGGCGAAAGCAGCUCUCUGGCCUGUAACUGACGCUGAGGUUCGAAAGCGUGGGUAGCAAACAGG